CGCAGCCGCGGUAAUUCCAGCUCCAAUAGCGUAUAUUAAAGUUGUUGCAGUUAAAAAGCUCGUAGUUGAAUUUCGGGAUUGGCGCAUCGGUCGUGCCUUACGGGGUAUGAACUGGUGCAGUCAAUUUCUCACCUUCUGGAGAACCGCGAUGUCCUUAAUUGGGUGCCGCGGGGAACCAGGACCUUUACUUUGAAAAAAUUAGAGUGUUUAAAGCAGGCAUUUUUGCUUGAAUACAUUAGCAUGGAAUAAUAAAAUAGGACGGCAUGGUUCUAUUUUGUUGGUUUCUAGGACCACCGUAAUGAUUAAUAGGGAUAGUUGGGGGCAUUAGUAUUCAAUUGUCAGAGGUGAAAUUCUUGGAUUUAUUGAAGACUAACUACUGCGAAAGCAUUUGCCAAGGAUGUUUUCAUUAAUCAAGAACGAAAGUUAGGGGAUCGAAGACGAUCAGAUACCGUCGUAGUCUUAACCAUAAACUAUGCCGACUAG
rnacentral:rRNA from 1 species